GAUGAACGCUGGCGGCGUGCUUAACACAUGCAAGUCGAACGGAAAGGCUCCUGCUUGCAGGGGUACUCGAGUGGCGAACGGGUGAGUAACACGUGGGUGAUCUGCCCUGCACUUCGGGAUAAGCCUGGGAAACUGGGUCUAAUACCGGAUAGGACGAUGGUUUGGAUGCCAUUGUGGAAAGUUUUUUCGGUGUGGGAUGAGCUCGCGGCCUAUCAGCUUGUUGGUGGGGUAAUGGCCUACCAAGGCGUCGACGGGUAGCCGGCCUGAGAGGGUGUACGGCCACAUUGGGACUGAGAUACGGCCCAGACUCCUACGGGAGACAGCAGUGGGGAAUAUUGCACGAUGGGCGCAAGCCUGAUGCAGCGACGCCGCGUGGGGGAUGACGGCCUUCGGGUUGUAAACUCCUUUCGCUAGGGACGAAGCGCAAGUGACGGUACCUGGAGAAGAAGCACCGGCUAACUACGUG
rnacentral:rRNA from 1 species